rnacentral:rRNA from 1 species
GACAGAGGGUGCAAGCGUUGUUCGGAAUUACUGGGCGUAAAGCGCGUGUAGGCGGCUGCGUGGGUCGGGCGUGAAAUCCCAUGGCUCAACCAUGGAAGUGCACCCGAAACUGCGCAGCUAGAGUCCUGGAGAGGAAGGCGGAAUACUUGGUGUAGAGGUGAAAUUCGUAGAUAUCAAGUGGAACACCGGUGGCGAAGGCGGCCUUCUGGACAGUGACUGACGCUGAGACGCGAAAGCGUGGGUAGCAAACAGG